UACGGAGGGGGCUAGCGUUGUUCGGAAUCAUUGGGCGUAAAGCGCGUGUAGGCGGCUUGGUAAGUCAGGUGUGAAAGCUCCGAGCUUAACUCGGAAAGUGCACUUGAAACUGCCAGGCUUGAGUCCCGGAGAGGAAGAUGGAAUCCCCAGUGUAGAGGUGAAAUUCGUAGAUAUUGGGAGGAACAUCGGUGGCGAAGGCGACCUUCUGGACGGUGACUGACGCUGAGACG
rnacentral:rRNA from 1 species